AAAUAAGUGAAAUGUUAAUCAGAACAUCUUGCUAUCCAAGCAAAAAAAUACAACAGAAAAUAAAAUUACAUGUCAGCGCAUGCAGACAGCAAUGGAUAAGAAUCUCUGAUCAUUUGUGAUAAUAUGCAAAACUCCGAAAGUUAUAUUGAGAGUUCAUCACUUUUAUUCAAGUCCUUCAACUUUAAGGCAAUAUAACAUGAAUUAAGCA
rnacentral:misc_RNA from 1 species